UACGUAGGGUGCGAGCGUUGUCCGGAAUUACUGGGCGUAAAGGGCGCGUAGGCGGCCUGCUAAGUCGAACGUGAAAUCCCCGGGCUCAACCCGGGAACUGCGUCCGAUACUGGUGGGCUUGAAUCCGGGAGAGGGAUGUGGAAUUCCAGGUGUAGCGGUGAAAUGCGUAGAUAUCUGGAGGAACACCGGUGGCGAAGGCGGCAUCCUGGACCGGUAUUGACGCUGAGGCGCGAAAGCCAGGGGAGCAAACGGG
rnacentral:rRNA from 1 species